rnacentral:rRNA from 1 species
UGGGGAAUAUUGCACAAUGGAGGGAACUCUGAUGCAGCAACGCCGCGUGCGGGAUGACGGCCUUCGGGCUGUAAACCGCUUUCAGCCAUGACGAAGCUUUUGUGACGGUAGUGGUAGAAGAAGCACCGGCUAACUACGUGCCAGCAGCCGCGGUGAUACGUAGGGUGCGAGCGUUGUCCGGAAUUAUUGGGCGUAAAGAGCUUGUAGGCGGUUUGUCGCGUCGAAAGUGUAAACUCAGUGCUUAACGCUGAGCCUGCUUUCGAUACGGGCUGACUAGAGGAGGGUAGGGGAGAGUGGAAUUCCCGGUGGAGCGGUGGAAUGCGCAGAUAUCGGGAGGAACACCAGUGGCGAAGGCGGUUCUCUGGACCUUUCCUGACGCUGAGAAGCGAAAGCGUGGGUAGCAAACAGG